rnacentral:rRNA from 1 species
CCUACGGGGCGCAGCAGUGGGGGAUAUUGCACAAUGGGGGAAACCCUGAUGCAGCAACGCCGCGUGAGUGAAGAAGGUCUUCGGAUUGUAAAACUCUGUUCUUGGUGAAGAUAAUGACGGUAGCCAAGGAGAAAGCUCCGGCUAACUACGUGCCAGCAGCCGCGGUAAUACGUAGGGAGCGAGCGUUGUCCGGAUUUACUGGGUGUAAAGGGUGCGCAGGCGGCUCUGCAAGUCAGAAGUGAAAACUAUGGGCUUAACCCAUAGCCUGCUUUUGAAACUGUUUUUCUUGGGUGAAGUAGAGGCAA